AGGGGAUGGGCCUGGGUCUUCCUCUAACUACCCAGCUGGCCUCUGCCCCUCCCCAGCCUCCUCCACAACCUCCGGAGCCACACUUUCACUCCCUGUCAGCUGUUCCUCCUCUCCCUCUGAGUCAGUAUCCAACAGGGGCAUAACAGUGAAUUUCUGUUCCAAAU